UGCCGGCCUGGUUAGACAGGCAUUUAAGGCUUCCUCAUGUUAUAUCAGGGGCAAGGACUUGCGUUUCUGGAGUGGCUUCAGCAUGAGCAGUCCAUAAAGAGGCUUCAUCCAUCUUGAAAAAGGGGGCUGGUGACCGCUCACUCAGAGUCAUUCUCUGGAAUUUUUGGUUCACUGGAAGAUAUCCUGGGGGUCUCCACCACGCCAUGGCACAGCUUCACCAACUGAGAGGGGUUCCACAGAAGUCCAGAAUCUGAAAGAACACAAGCAUUAUCCUCUACCCCAGAGCUUGCCAAUUUUGAUGGUAAAGAUUAUGGGAGGCUCUGGCUUCAAAAAGAGGAUAACAUUCCUGAGAAACUGUUGGGAAAAUGAAUAAAGUUUUACACCAUAAGAUGGCCGACGGGACUAAAACAAGCUCUGGUCUCUAGCUUGGAGACCCCUCUUCCGGGUUCUUCUUGCCCUGUUUGUGGAGCGGGCGCGCGCGUGCCAAAACCCUAUGGAAGCUGACAACUAUAAAUUACCCUUCCCACUUGCAUUCAGCGCUCAGAUCUUUGGAGAAACGGUCUCCUCUGAGCCCACCAGUGUGAAAUAAGCCUCUGAUCCACCGAGAUCUCCACCUCCGAGUGCCGCUUGGUUUUUCCGCCAGCGUUCCAUCCUGGUUCCCUAACAUAUUUGGUUCCCUGAUUGGGAAACCCAACUGCGCCGGCCCAUUGUUGCCACUGGUUUGGGAAAAUGACGAGGCGGUGAUGGAAUGAGGAUUCGCAAGGGGGAAGGCGCACCCUGCCUGAAUUUCAGCAGUCUCCCACUUGGUCGCCCCGGGCCAACCCUGCUCCGCCAUUCCUGCCGGACUGGAGGAGACUUGGCAGGUGAGGACCUGGACCCGACGUCGGAACCGGUCACCAUCGGAAAUACUGGUUAUUUUACCAAGGCUUUGACUGGAAUGUCAUAUUUGAGAGUGACAUUCAUAGACUCAGAUGUGACCAGACAGCUUUGAGGAACUAAGGUUGGCUUUAUGAAACACGGAGCCAUAAAGCCCCUUGGAAAUGUUGGCCUGAUACCUUGCUUACAGAGUUCCCAGCAGCCUCACCAGGCUCCACAUCCAGGGCAAACCCCAGUGCUGGUCUUGAACUCACAACCCAGAGGUCAACACCUGAGAUGAGAUAAAGAGUUGGACACUUGGACACUUAACCCAUGCAGCCACCCAGGCCCACCUAAAGCAUAAUUUUAAAUGAUCAAUUAUAAAAACUUGGAAGGUUGGAAUUAAGGUUCUUUCAUGGGAAAGAACCAUAUCUUUUCAGAUUUAACAUCUGAAUUUACCACACCAC